rnacentral:lncRNA from 1 species
UUAGCCAGGAUGGUCUCGAUCUCCUGACCUCGUGAUCCGCCCAUCUCGGCCUCCCAAAGUGCUGGGAUUACAGGCUUGAGCCACGGUGCCCGGCCCAAAGGUCACUUUCUGAUUCAUAGUUAGGCAUCUUCUCACUGUGUCCUCAAGGGGGAGAAGGCAUGAGGGAGCUCUCUGGUGUCUCUCAUUUUAUGUUAUUUAGAUAGAAUCUUGCUCUGUGGCCCAGGCUGGAGGUCCUAUCAUCUCCACUUUACAGAUAAAGAAAAAAUACUGAGACACAGAGAAAUUAAGUAGCUUGUUUAAGGUCACACAGCUAGGAAGUGGCAGAGCCAGGAUUUGAACCCAGAUAGUUUGCCUUCAGACAUUUCAGUCCUGAUCACAUGGUAAUUAUUGAAGGUUUCUCUUAAGAAAUGAGUAUUUAUUUAUUUAGUUAGCUAGAGACAGAGGCUUGUUCUGUCACCCAGGCUGUAGUGAAGUGAAGCUAUCAUAGCUCACUGGAGCCUCAAACUCCUGGGCUCAAGUGAUCCUCCCACCUUGGCCUCCCAAAGUGCUGAGAUUACAGGUGUGAGGCAUCAUACCUGGCUAAGAAUUGAACAUUAUUUAUUUAUUUAUUUGUUUAUGUGUUUAUUUAUUUAUUUUUGAAACAGUGUCUUGCUCUGUCGUCCAGGCUGCAUGCAGUGGCACAAUCAUGUGGCACUGCAGCCUUGACUGCUGGGCUUAAGCAAGCCUCCCACCUCAGUCUCUUGAGUAGCUGGGACUACAGACAUGCACCACCAUGCCCGGAUGAUCUUUUUCUUAUUUUUCUUCAAGUUUUAGUAGAGACAGGGUCUUGCUAUGUUGUCCAGGCUGGUCUUAAACUUCUGAGCUCACACAAUCCUCCCACCUUGUCCUCCCAAAGUGCUGGGAUUACAGCAUAACUGAAUUUUUAAAUUGUACUUAAUUUUAUGAUCAAAUACUCAUUUUCCUUCAGGGUGGCCUCUUUGAUCUAUUUUAAAGAUCACAUUGUGGCCAAGCACGGUGGCUCAUGCCUGUCCCAGCACUUUGGGAGGUUGAGGUGGGCAGAUCACUUGAGGUCAGAAGUUGGAGACCAGCCUGGCCAAUGUGGUGAAACCCUGUCUCUACUAAGAACUACAAAAAAAUUAGCCAGGUGUAUUGGUACGCGCCUGUAGUCCCAGCUACCGGGGAGGCUGAGGCAGGAAAAUCGCUGGAACCCGGGAGGCAGAGGUUGCAGUGAGCCUAGAUCGUGGCACUGCACUCCAGCCUAGGCAACUGAGCGAGACUCUGUCUCAAACGAAAAAGAAACAACAAUAAUGGUUGUUCUGACUUCAUUCUCUGAAUUGUUGUGAGGACCAGUUUAAACGACGCAGAUGAAAACAUGUUAAAACUAUAAGUCAUUAGACAAUUGUACUGAUUUUAAAAUGGUGAAAGUUCUUACUGAAUGAAUGAAAGGUUGGAGGAGUUUUGUAUGAGGUAGGCCUAGAGCUCAAAGACAAAAAUGAAAUGUGAGAGAGUGUAGUGGUGAAUUUUAUGUGUCAGUGAAGAACACUGAUGAAUAAGAGAAAAAAUUUUCUAAUUGGGACUGAGUGGUUUAUUUUGCUUCUCUGUAUUGUUGGUCAAAAUUCCAAAAGAAUGAUAGUCUCUUGACACUGUUUCUGUGUUCAGAGAUGAUUGCAUAUAAUUAAUAAAAGGCCAAAAAUGUCUAUAUGCUGGCCUUUUAGAGUUUUGGUCUCUCACAAGACAUUUUCUUGGGUAAUAAUGAUAGAGCAAUCUUGCAAUGGCCUUGUCACAGUUUAUGUAGCUGACGUGUUGGGCAGAGUGCAAAUGCCUGGGAAAAGCAAAGCUACUCGUAAAAGGUACAACGGGUUUGUUCGAAAAGUUAC